UACGGAGGGAGCUAGCGUUAUCCGGAAUUAUUGGGCGUAAAGAGCUCGUAGGCGGUUUGUCGCGUCUGCUGUGAAACCCCGAGGCUCAACCUCGGGCCUGCAGUGGGUACGGGCAGACUAGAGUGCGGUAGGGGAGAUUGGAAUUCCUGGUGUAGCGGUGGAAUGCGCAGAUAUCAGGAGGAACACCGAUGGCGAAGGCAGAUCUCUGGGCCGUAACUGACGCUGAGGAGCGAAAGCAUGGGGAGCGAAC
rnacentral:rRNA from 1 species